AACCUCCGCAAUGUGAGAAAUCGCGACGGGGGGAUCCCAAGUGCCAUUCUUAACGGGAUGGCUUUUCAUUGGUGUAAAGAGCUUUUGGAAUAAGAGCUGGGCAAGACCGGUGCCAGCCGCCGCGGUAACACCGGCAGCUCUAGUGGUAACAAUUUUUAUUGGGCCUAAAGCGUCCGUAGCCGGUUUAAUAAGUCUCUGGUGAAAUCCUGUAGCUUAACUGUGGGAAUUGCUGGAGAUACUAUUAGACUUGAGACCGGGAGAGGUUAGAGGUACUCCCAGGGUAGAGGUGAAAUUCUGUAAUCCUGGGAGGACCGCCUGUUGCGAAGGCGUCUAACUGGAACGGUUCUGACGGUGAGGGACGAAAGUUAGGGGCGCGAACCGGAUUAGAUACCCGGGUAGUCCUAACUGUAAACGAUGCGGACUUGGUGUUGGGGUGGCUUUGAGCUGCUCCAGUGCCGAAGGGAAGCUGUUAAGUCCGCCGCCUGGGAAGUACGGUCGCAAGACUGAAACUUAAAGGAAUU
rnacentral:rRNA from 1 species